rnacentral:snRNA from 1 species
AUACUUACCUGGCAGGGGAGAUACCAUGAUCAUGAAGGUGGUUUUCCCAGGGCAAGGCUUAUCCAUUGCACUCCGGAUGUGCUGACCCCUGUGAUUUCCCCAAAUGUGGGAAACUCGACUGCAUAAUUUGUGGUAGUGGGGGACGGAGUUCGUGCUUUCCCCUA